rnacentral:rRNA from 1 species
GAUGAACGCUGGCGGCGUGCCUAAUACAUGCAAGUCGAGCGAACAGAUGAGGAGCUUGCUCCUCUGACGUUAGCGGCGGACGGGUGAGUAACACGUGGAUAACCUACCUAUAAGACUGGGAUAAGUUCGGGAAACCGGAGCUAAUACCGGAUAAUAUAUUGAACCGCGUGGUUCAAUAGUGAAAGACGGUUUUGCUGUCACUUAUAGAUGGAUCCGCGCCGCAUUAGCUAGUUGGUAAGGUAACGGCUUACCAAGGCAACGAUGCGUAGCCGACCUGAGAGGGUGAUCGGCCACACUGGAACUGAGACACGGUCCAGACUCCUACGGGAGGCAGCAGUAGGGAAUCUUCCGCAAUGGGCGAAAGCUUGACGGAGCAACGCCGCGUGAGUGAUGAAGGUCUUCGGAUCGUAAAACUCUGUUAUUAGGGAAGAACAAAUGUGUAAGUAACUAUGCACGUCUUGACGGUACCUAAUCAGAAAGCCACGGCUAACUACGUG